GGGGGCGUACAGGUUUCGACAGGGAUUUGGCGCAGAUUUAAGCGAGCCGUGUUUCUUCAGCCUGGGGUACACGUAAAAGAACUGGGCUACUAAAUAUAAACGCAAAAAACGAUUACGUUUUAGCUGCCUAAUAUAGCAGCCACCAUCAAGAGGCCUUUCAUCAUUGCCGCUUCUUGAAACGGUAACCUUUGCAAUGGUCGAUUAGUAAGCUCGUCCUAGCUUACUAUGGUUUUAAGGACUAGUCUUUCUGUUCAUUUGUCAUUUUAUUUGCAGAAAGGCGAAACCUUUUAAAAUGACUGCGCUCGGAGAAAGGAUCUGUAAAGGAUUUUUGGACGUGGGUUCGAUUCCCACCGCCUCCACCA
rnacentral:sRNA from 1 species